rnacentral:rRNA from 1 species
UACGAAGGGGGCUAGCGUUGCUCGGAAUCACUGGGCGUAAAGGGUGCGUAGGCGGGUCUUUAAGUCAGGGGUGAAAUCCUGGAGCUCAACUCCAGAACUGCCUUUGAUACUGAAGAUCUUGAGUUCGGGAGAGGUGAGUGGAACUGCGAGUGUAGAGGUGAAAUUCGUAGAUAUUCGCAAGAACACCAGUGGCGAAGGCGGCUCACUGGCCCGAUACUGACGCUGAGGCGCGAAAGCCAGGGGAGCAAAGCGGG